ensembl:lncRNA
CAGCCUUUCAUGCAGCAAAGGUAUUAAUUCUUGUGCCUCCCCUCUGUCUUGCUAGGAAUAAAAAAGUAGGAACUCCUCUAUCUUCAGGACCUGAAUUGCCUUACUAAGGCACAGGGGCUGCACAGGGGUAGUGAGGAGAACAGCUGGUCCAAUGUUAUAUGCUUCCUGUGAUGAGAAAUCAAGUCAGUAUUAUUUUUCUUCCCCAGAUGUAUCUGUUACUAUUUACAGGAAUCAGAUCCCUUCACCAAGGAGAUACUCUUCAGAGCAGAAGUUCAUUUUUUUCAAAGUCAGCUCAGCCUAGAGAAACUGGAUAAACCCAGAAGUGUAACAUGAUGUUGUUUGGAAAAAGGCCUGCUCUGUUGGCGCUGGGGGAGGCAGGAGCUGGGCGAUGUGCUCUGAGUGGUGACAGAUUACUGGAGGUUAAGAAGGUGGAUUUUUACCCGAUGGACUUGGCAGCUCUCCUGCAGGUCUAUGCAC